rnacentral:rRNA from 1 species
CCUACGGGAGGCAGCAGUGAGGAAUAUUGGUCAAUGGACUAGCGUCUGAACCAGUCAAGUCGCGUGAAGGAUGACUGCCCUAUGGUUUGUAACCUUCUUUUAUAUGGGAAUAAAAUGUUCCUCGCGUGGGAUUUUGUAUGUACCAUAUGCAUAAGGAUCGGCUAACUCCUUGCCAGCAGCCGCGGUAAUACGGAGGAUACGAGCGUUAUCCGGAUUUAUUGGGUUUAAAGGGUGCGUAGGUGGAUUGUUAAGUCAGUUGUGAAAGUUUGCGGCUCAACCGUAAAAUUGCAGUUGAAACUGGCAGUCUUGAGUACAGUAGAGGUGUGCGGAAUUCGUGGUGUAGCGGUGAAAUGCUUAGAUAUCACGAAGAACUCCGAUUGCGAAGGCAGCUCACUGGACUGCAACUGACACUGAGGCUCGAAAGUGUGGGUAUCAAACAGGAUUAGAUACCCUAGUAGUC